rnacentral:rRNA from 1 species
AAUCGGAGGAGACAACAGGGAUUACCUCAGUAACGGCGAGUGAAGCGGUAACAGCUCAAAUUUGAAAUCUGGCCUCACGGUCCGAGUUGUAAUUUGUAGAGGAUGCUUCGAGCAUGGUCUGGCCUAAGUUCCUUGGAACAGGACGUCAUAGAGGGUGAGAAUCCCGUAUGCGGCCAGGUGCCUACGCUCAUGUGAAGCUCCUUCGACGAGUCGAGUUGUUUGGGAAUGCAGCUCAAAAUGGGUGGUAAAUUUCAUCUAAAGCUAAAUAUUGGCCAGAGACCGAUAGCGCACAAGUAGAGUGAUCGAAAGAUGAAAAGCACUUUGGAAAGAGAGUUAAACAGUACGUGAAAUUGUUGAAAGGGAAGCGCUUGCAACCAGACUUGCGCGCGGCCGAUCAUCCGGUGUUCUCACCGGUGCACUCGGCCGUGCUCAGGCCAGCAUCGGUUUUGGCGGCUGGAUAAAGGCCCUAGGAAUGUAGCUCCUCUCGGGGAGUGUUAUAGCCUAGGGUGCAAUGCAGCCUGCUGGGACCGAGGACCGCGCUUCGGCUAGGAUGCUGGCGUAAUGGUUGUAAGCGGCCCGUCUUGAAACACGGACCAAGGAGUCUAACAUCUAUGCGAGUGUUUGGGUGUCAAACCCAUACGCGUAAUGAAAGUGAACGGAGGUGAGAACCCUUAAGGGUGCAUCAUCGACCGGUCCUGAAGUUUACGGAAGGAUCUGAGUAAGAGCAUAGCUGUUGGGACCCGAAAGAUGGUGAACUAUGCCUGAAUAGGGUGAAGCCAGAGGAAACUCUGGUGGAGGCUCGCAGCGGUUUCUGACGUGCAAAUCGAUCGUCAAAUUUGGGUAUAGGGGCGAAAGACUAAUCGAACCAUCAGAUUGCCCCCUGGGUU